UAGGGAAUCUUCCACAAUGGACGCAAGUCUGAUGGAGCAACGCCGCGUGAGUGAAGAAGGCUUUCGGGUCGUAAAACUCUGUUAUUGAAGAAGAACGUGUGUGACAGUAACUGGUCAUGCAGUGACGGUAUUCAAUCAGAAAGUCACGGCUAACUACGUGCCAGCAGCCGCGGUAAUACGUAGGUGGCAAGCGUUGUCCGGAUUUAUUGGGCGUAAAGCGAGUGCAGGCGGUCUUUUAAGUCUGAUGUGAAAGCCUUCGGCUUAAACCGAAGAAAGGGCAUCG
rnacentral:rRNA from 1 species